rnacentral:rRNA from 1 species
AUACGGAGGGUGCAAGCGUUACUCGGAAUCACUGGGCGUAAAGCGUACGUAGGCGGUUGGUUAAGUUAGAUGUGAAAGCCCCGGGCUUCACCUGGGAACUGCAUUUAAAACUGGCGAACUAGAGUUGAGUAGAGGGGAGUGGAAUUUCAGGUGUAGCGGUGAAAUGCGUAGAGAUCUGAAGGAACACCAGUGGCGAAGGCGACUCCCUGGACUCGAACUGACGCUGAGGUACGAAAGCGUGGGUAGCAAACGGGAUUAGAUACCCCUGUAGUCC